rnacentral:rRNA from 1 species
UCCUUUAAAGAAAGCGUAAUAGCUCACUAGUCGAGUCGGCCUGCGCGGAAGAUGUAACGGGGCUAAAUUGGUAACCGAAGCUGCGGAUGCGUGCUUGCACGCAUGGUAGAGGAGCGUUCUGUAAGCCGUUGAAGGUGAACCGAGAGGUUUGCUGGAGGUAUCAGAAGUGCGAAUGCUGACAUGAGUAACGAUAAGGGGGGUGAAAAACCUCCCCGCCGGAAGAUCAAGGUUUCCUGCGCAACGCUAAUCGGCGCAGGGUAAGUCGGCCCCUAAGGCGAGGGCGAAAGCCGUAGUCGAUGGGAAGCAGGUUAACAUUCCUGCACUUCUUUUUAUUGCGAUGGAGGGACGGAGAAGGCUAGGCCAGCAGGGCGAUGGUUGUCCCUGUUUAAGGUGGUAGGCUGAAUUCUUAGGUAAAUCCGGGAGUUCACUAAGGCCGAGAACUGAUGACGAGUGCCCUAGGGCGCGAAGUGGUUGAUGCCAUGCUUCCAAGAAAAGCUUCUAAGCUUCAGAUAAAAAGGAACCGUACUGUAAACCGACACAGGUGAUCAGGUAGAGAAUACCAAGGCGCUUGAGAGAACUCGGGUGAAGGAACUAGGCAAAAUGGUACCGUAACUUCGGGAGAAGGUACGCCGGUUUUGGUGAUGAGACUUGCUCUCUAAGCUGAGGCCGGCCGAAGUGACCAGGUGGCUGCGACUGUUUAUUAAAAACAUAGCACUCUGCAAACACGAAAGUGGACGUAUAGGGUGUGACGCCUGCCCGGUGCCGGAAGGUUAAUUGAUGGGGUUAUCUUCGGAGAAGCUCUUGAUCGAAGCCCCGGUAAACGGCGGCCGUAACUAUAACGGUCCUAAGGUAGCGAAAUUCCUUGUCGGGUAAGUUCCGACCUGCACGAAUGGCGUAACGAUGGCGGCGCUGUCUCCACCCAAGACUCAGUGAAAUUGAAAUCGCUGUUAAGAUGCAGUGUAUCCGCGGCUAGACGGAAAGACCCCGUGAACCUUUACUACAGCUUCACAGUGGACUUUGAAUAUGCUUGUGUAGGAUAGCUGGGAGACUUUGAAACCGGGACGCUAGUUUCGGUGGAGUCAACCUUGAAAUACCAGCCUGGCAUGUUUGAGGUUCUAACCUAGACCCGUGAAUCCGGGUCAGGGACAUUGUGUGGUGGGUAGUUUGACUGGGGCGGUCUCCUCCCAAAGAGUAACGGAGGAGCACGAAGGUACCCUCAGCAUGGUCGGAAAUCAUGCUAUGAGCGCAAAGGUAGAAGUGUGCUUGACUGCGAGACUGACACGUCGAGCAGGUACGAAAGUAGGUCUUAGUGAUCCGGUGGUUCUGUAUGGAAGGGCCAUCGCUCAACGGAUAAAAGGUACUCCGGGGAUAACAGGCUGAUACCGCCCAAGAGUUCACAUCGACGGCGGUGUUUGGCACCUCGAUGUCGGCUCAUCACAUCCUGGGGCUGAAGCCGGUCCCAAGGGUAUGGCUGUUCGCCAUUUAAAGUGGUACGCGAGCUGGGUUUAGAACGUCGUGAGACAGUUCGGUCCCUAUCUGCCGUGGGCGUUGGAGAAUUGAGGGAAGCUGCUCCUAGUACGAGAGGACCGGAGUGGACGAACCUCUGGUGUU